UCCCAGGUGGCAAAGUAGUAAAGAAUCUGCCUGCAAGGCAGGAGACCCAGGCUCGAUCCCUGGGUUGGGAA
rnacentral:tRNA from 1 species